rnacentral:rRNA from 1 species
AUGCCACGUGCUGAUGGUCCUUUUAAGGUGUUAGAGAAAAUAAAUGAUAAUGCAUAUAAACUUGAGCUGCCUAUAAAUUUUGGGGUUAGUCCCACUUUUAACAUUGCAGAUUUGAAGCCUUAUUUGGGUGAGGAAGAUGAGCUUCCGUCAAGGACGACUUCAUUUCAAGAAGGGGAAGAUGAUGAGGACGUCAAUACCAUUGUUACACCCACAGCCCCUGCUGCUAUACAUACUGGACCAAUUACUAGAGCUUGUGCACGCCAAUUAAAUUAUCAGCUACAUUCAUUUCUUGGUAAUGAUUCUAAUGUUGAUGAGAACAUGAUGCUGCCUAAAUUGGAUACAUUUGUCUUGCUUACAAAUGAAGGGCCUAGCUUGGACAAGAGGGAUGAACAUUGGAGC